rnacentral:rRNA from 1 species
GUGGAUGCCCUGGCAGUCAGAGGCGAUGAAGGACGUGCUAAUCUGCGAUAAGCGUCGGUAAGGUGAUAUGAACCGUUAUAACCGGCGAUUUCCGAAUGGGGAAACCCAGUGUGAUUCGUCACACUAUCAUUAACUGAAUCCAUAGGUUAAUGAGGCGAACCGGGGGAACUGAAACAUCUAAGUACCCCGAGGAAAAGAAAUCAACCGAGAUUCCCCCAGUAGCGGCGAGCGAACGGGGAGCAGCCCAGAGCCUGAAUCAGUGUGUGUGUUAGUGGAAGCGUCUGGAAAGGCGUGCGAUACAGGGUGACAGCCCCGUACACAAAAAUGCACAUACUGUGAGCUCGAUGAGUAGGGCGGGACACGUGGUAUCCUGUCUGAAUAUGGGGGGACCAUCCUCCAAGGCUAAAUACUCCUGACUGACCGAUAGUGAACCAGUACCGUGAGGGAAAGGCGAAAAGAACCCCGGCGAGGGGAGUGAAAAAGAACCUGAAACCGUGUACGUACAAGCAGUGGGAGCACGCUUAGGCGUGUGACUGCGUACCUUUUGUAUAAUGGGUCAGCGACUUAUAUUCUGUAGCAAGGUUAACCGAAUAGGGGAGCCGAAGGGAAACCGAGUCUUAACUGGGCGUUAAGUUGCAGGGUAUAGACCCGAAACCCGGUGAUCUAGCCAUGGGCAGGUUGAAGGUUGGGUAACACUAACUGGAGGACCGAACCGACUAAUGUUGAAAAAUUAGCGGAUGACUUGUGGCUGGGGGUGAAAGGCCAAUCAAACCGGGAGAUAGCUGGUUCUCCCCGAAAGCUAUUUAGGUAGCGCCUCGUGAAUUCAUCUCCGGGGGUAGAGCACUGUUUCGGCAAGGGGGUCAUCCCGACUUACCAACCCGAUGCAAACUGCGAAUACCGGAGAAUGUUAUUACGGGAGACACACGGCGGGUGCUAACGUCCGUCGUGAAGAGGGAAACAACCCAGACCGCCAGCUAAGGUCCCAAAGUCAUGGUUAAGUGGGAAACGAUGUGGGAAGGCCCAGACAGCCAGGAUGUUGGCUUAGAAGCAGCCAUCAUUUAAAGAAAGCGUAAUAGCUCACUGGUCGAGUCGGCCUGCGCGGAAGAUGUAACGGGGCUAAACCAUGCACCGAAGCUGCGGCAGCGACGCUUAUGCGUUGUUGGGUAGGGGAGCGUUCUGUAAGCCUGUGAAGGUGUGCUGUGAGGUAUGCUGGAGGUAUCAGAAGUGCGAAUGCUGACAUAAGUAACGAUAAAGCGGGUGAAAAGCCCGCUCGCCGGAAGACCAAGGGUUCCUGUCCAACGUUAAUCGGGGCAGGGUGAGUCGACCCCUAAGGCGAGGCCGAAAGGCGUAGUCGAUGGGAAACAGGUUAAUAUUCCUGUACUUGGUGUUACUGCGAAGGGGGGACGGAGAAGGCUAUGUUGGCCGGGCGACGGUUGUCCCGGUUUAAGCGUGUAGGCUGGUUUUCCAGGCAAAUCCGGAAAAUCAAGGCCGAGGCGUGAUGACGAGGCACUACGGUGCUGAAGCAACAAAUGCCCUGCUUCCAGGAAAAGCCUCUAAGCAUCAGGUAACAUCAAAUCGUACCCCAAACCGACACAGGUGGUCAGGUAGAGAAUACCAAGGCGCUUGAGAGAACUCGGGUGAAGGAACUAGGCAAAAUGGUGCCGUAACUUCGGGAGAAGGCACGCUGAUACGUAGGUGAAGCGACUUGCUCGUGGAGCUGAAAUCAGUCGAAGAUACCAGCUGGCUGCAACUGUUUAUUAAAAACACAGCACUGUGCAAACACGAAAGUGGACGUAUACGGUGUGACGCCUGCCCGGUGCCGGAAGGUUAAUUGAUGGGGUUAGCGCAAGCGAAGCUCUUGAUCGAAGCCCCGGUAAACGGCGGCCGUAACUAUAACGGUCCUAAGGUAGCGAAAUUCCUUGUCGGGUAAGUUCCGACCUGCACGAAUGGCGUAAUGAUGGCCAGGCUGUCUCCACCCGAGACUCAGUGAAAUUGAACUCGCUGUGAAGAUGCAGUGUACCCGCGGCAAGACGGAAAGACCCCGUGAACCUUUACUAUAGCUUGACACUGAACAUUGAGCCUUGAUGUGUAGGAUAGGUGGGAGGCUUUGAAGUGUGGACGCCAGUCUGCAUGGAGCCGACCUUGAAAUACCACCCUUUAAUGUUUGAUGUUCUAACGUGGACCCGUGAUCCGGGUUGCGGACAGUGUCUGGUGGGUAGUUUGACUGGGGCGGUCUCCUCCUAAAGAGUAACGGAGGAGCACGAAGGUUGGCUAAUCCUGGUCGGACAUCAGGAGGUUAGUGCAAUGGCAUAAGCCAGCUUGACUGCGAGCGUGACGGCGCGAGCAGGUGCGAAAGCAGGUCAUAGUGAUCCGGUGGUUCUGAAUGGAAGGGCCAUCGCUCAACGGAUAAAAGGUACUCCGGGGAUAACAGGCUGAUACCGCCCAAGAGUUCAUAUCGACGGCGGUGUUUGGCACCUCGAUGUCGGCUCAUCACAUCCUGGGGCUGAAGUAGGUCCCAAGGGUAUGGCUGUUCGCCAUUUAAAGUGGUACGCGAGCUGGGUUUAGAACGUCGUGAGACAGUUCGGUCCCUAUCUGCCGUGGGCGCUGGAGAACUGAGGGGGGCUGCUC